CCGUGCUAGGUGGGGAAUUAGCGGUGCCCUGUACCCGCAAUCCGCUAUAGCGGGACUGAAUCCCUUCCUGAGGUAGAUUUGCUUUAAGGUCUGACUUAAGUAAGUGGUGUUGACGCUUGGGUCCUGCGCAACAGGAACCCGUGAACCCUGUCAGGUCCGGAAGGAAGCAGCAGUAAGCGGACACUUCUGUGUGCCGCGGGGUUGCCUGAGCCGAGCUAACUGCUUAAGUAACGCUUAGGGCAGUCUUAUCGACGGAAGGUGCACGG
rfam:Bacillus solimangrovi strain GH2-4 NODE_49_length_14218_cov_1.59069_ID_2784, whole genome shotgun sequence.